rnacentral:rRNA from 1 species
UUAAUUGAAGAGUUUGAUCAUGGCUCAGAUUGAACGCUGGCGGCAGGCCUAACACAUGCAAGUCGAGCGGCAGCACAGAGGAACUUGUUCCUUGGGUGGCGAGCGGCGGACGGGUGAGUAAUGCCUGGGAAAUUGCCCGGUAGAGGGGGGAUAACCAUUGGAAACGAUGGCUAAUACCGCAUAACCUCGCAAGAGCAAAGCAGGGGACCUUCGGGCCUUGCGCUACCGGAUAUGCCCAGGUGGGAUUAGCUAGUUGGUGAGGUAAGGGCUCACCA